rnacentral:rRNA from 1 species
GGAAUCUUCCACAAUGGACGGCAAGUCUGAUGGAGCAACGCCGCGUGAGUGAAGAAGGUCUUCGGAUCGUAAAACUCUGUUGUUAGAGAAGAACACGAGUGAGAGUAACUGUUCAUUCGAUGACGGUAUCUAACCAGCAAGUCACGGCUAACUACGUGCCA